rnacentral:lncRNA from 1 species
AUGGGUAUUUCUCCACUGAUCAGUAACCAGUUUGCUUCGGCUUCCUCCCUCCCUCUGUCCUGCCUCUCCUCCCUGCUCUCGCUCCUUCCUCCUUGUCUUCCUCAUCCCCGCCCCUCUCCCUCUUCCCUCCACGCCUCCCUCUCUUCUUUCCCGUUUCCCCUUCUUCCUCCCUCCUUCCGUCUCUCUCCGCUCCUCUCCCAUGACAUGACACAUCCUGUGAGGCUCCAGCUGGCUUGGGGGUGGGCAGUGGGUUUUUCACCAUGUGCCUGCCCGUCCCCUUGGGUACCGUUCGGAGGUGGGGAGAUGCCAGUCCGGCAGCAGCGUCUGUUCAGGGAGCAGAAUCAGCUUCUCGAGCCGCAGCGAGAGUCGAGAGUCGCCACACACGGGAAGAUCAGAUGCCUCUCGAGGUGCUCGGGACCUGGGAGUCCCAGAUGCAGAUCAGACCACAUUUCGAGGUUCCGGGUGGACCGGAGUGGCAUCCAGGACACAGUCGGCUUUGCUGUCUUUGAACGUUAUUUUGGUGGAGCCCUGGCUUCAGAAGCCCACAUAGGCGGCCUGCACACGUCUCCCACCCCCCAAAUAAAUCUGUCACUGUCGUUCCUGGUGCAGAGCCCAGGCCGAGGUGGCCACUGGUGUCCAGAGGAAGCCAAAUUUAGAGCAUCUUGUGGCAUCUGCAGAUGGCGGCAACCUAUUAUCCACACAGGGUUUCACCUGAUUGAUCCACCUUGCUCACAGCUGAAAGGAGCAAUUUUAAAUCGUCAAGCACAGGGUUUGUCCAGGGAGUACAAUUUACAAAUGGCCAGAAAUCACCGCCUUUGUUGGUGGGGAUGAAAGCCUCCCACUUGUCAGUCACCCUGGGCACUAAUGCCAGGCCAGAGAUGGGACCCUCACCUGGCUGCCAUGGCCUUCGCCAUGUGGAGCCAGUAGGGAUGUUUAGCAGACCCGUCCCUCCGAGCCCCAGGAGCUCGAUUUGGAUGUUACCCUACUUCCUGGUGUACAUUAAAAAAAAAUUAAAUAAAAGAAUUGGUUUUUGGAAAGGACCUGCAGUCAGCUCAGUUGAAAGGAAGGGAAAAGCCCAUUAAGAUGUUUGGUUCAGUUGACCUGUAUCUUUUUGGGGUGACCUUGGGUGAUGUGUGAUUUCUGAGCGGGAAAGGGAAGUGCAGACCCAGCUAAGCGAGUUCAGGGAAGAAACGGAUGAAUUCGGGGAUGUCUGCAGCAGGGACAAAAUGUGACGCACUUUUAAAGUCUCUGUCAGUACCAUUAAUAUUUAUGACCCACGCAUCCGUCAAAGACUUCUGCCUCAGAGCUGUUUGGCUUUGCUGGGUGUCGAGCCCUGAAUGGCAGAACUGAGAGUGGUUAGGU